rnacentral:snRNA from 1 species
AGGUGGGUGACCUGGCUAUGUCAUCUGCCGCCUACCUCACUGAUCCCCAGGGUUGACUCUCCAUCUGGAUGGCGAAGGCUGUCCCCUUCCUCCCUCGCUGCUCCAUGUGCGUCCCUCUGGAAGCUGCGUGCAGUCAAAAAGGAGGACCAUGCCUGAAAAAGGAGGACUAUUCUUCCGCCAAGGGUAUAGAAGGGGUUGCACCCCCCUGCUGGAACCUCCAAAGAAGUUCUCAAGGUCCAUUUGUAGGAGAACGUAGGGUAGUCACACUUCCAAGACUCCAGAAACAUCCACACGAGGCUCUGCAUGUGGCAGUCAACCUUCUGGA